UUAAGCGACUAAGCGUACACGGUGGAUGCCCUGGCAGUCAGAGGCGAUGAAGGACGUGCUAAUCUGCGAUAAGCGUCGGUAAGGUGAUAUGAACCGUUAUAACCGGCGAUUUCCGAAUGGGGAAACCCAGUGUGUUUCGACACACUAUCAUUAACUGAAUCCAUAGGUUAAUGAGGCGAACCGGGGGAACUGAAACAUCUAAGUACCCCGAGGAAAAGAAAUCAACCGAGAUUCCCCCAGUAGCGGCGAGCGAACGGGGAGCAGCCCAGAGCCUGAAUCAGUAUGUGUGUUAGUGGAAGCGUCUGGAAAGGCGCGCGAUACAGGGUGACAGCCCCGUACACAAAAAUGCACAUAUUGUGAGCUCGAUGAGUAGGGCGGGACACGUGGUAUCCUGUCUGAAUAUGGGGGGACCAUCCUCCAAGGCUAAAUACUCCUGACUGACCGAUAGUGAACCAGUACCGUGAGGGAAAGGCGAAAAGAACCCCGGCGAGGGGAGUGAAAAAGAACCUGAAACCGUGUACGUACAAGCAGUGGGAGCACGCUUAGGCGUGUGACUGCGUACCUUUUGUAUAAUGGGUCAGCGACUUAUAUUCUGUAGCAAGGUUAACCGAAUAGGGGAGCCGAAGGGAAACCGAGUCUUAACUGGGCGUUAAGUUGCAGGGUAUAGACCCGAAACCCGGUGAUCUAGCCAUGGGCAGGUUGAAGGUUGGGUAACACUAACUGGAGGACCGAACCGACUAAUGUUGAAAAAUUAGCGGAUGACUUGUGGCUGGGGGUGAAAGGCCAAUCAAACCGGGAGAUAGCUGGUUCUCCCCGAAAGCUAUUUAGGUAGCGCCUCGUGAAUUCAUCUCCGGGGGUAGAGCACUGUUUCGGCAAGGGGGUCAUCCCGACUUACCAACCCGAUGCAAACUGCGAAUACCGGAGAAUGUUAUCACGGGAGACACACGGCGGGUGCUAACGUCCGUCGUGAAGAGGGAAACAACCCAGACCGCCAGCUAAGGUCCCAAAGUCAUGGUUAAGUGGGAAACGAUGUGGGAAGGCCCAGACAGCCAGGAUGUUGGCUUAGAAGCAGCCAUCAUUUAAAGAAAGCGUAAUAGCUCACUGGUCGAGUCGGCCUGCGCGGAAGAUGUAACGGGGCUAAACCAUGCACCGAAGCUGCGGCAGCGACACUAUGUGUUGUUGGGUAGGGGAGCGUUCUGUAAGCCUGUGAAGGUGUGCUGUGAGGCAUGCUGGAGGUAUCAGAAGUGCGAAUGCUGACAUAAGUAACGAUAAAGCGGGUGAAAAGCCCGCUCGCCGGAAGACCAAGGGUUCCUGUCCAACGUUAAUCGGGGCAGGGUGAGUCGACCCCUAAGGCGAGGCCGAAAGGCGUAGUCGAUGGGAAACAGGUUAAUAUUCCUGUACUUGGUGUUACUGCGAAGGGGGGACGGAGAAGGCUAUGUUGGCCGGGCGACGGUUGUCCCGGUUUAAGCGUGUAGGCUGGUUUUCCAGGCAAAUCCGGAAAAUCAAGGCUGAGGCGUGAUGACGAGGCACUACGGUGCUGAAGCAACAAAUGCCCUGCUUCCAGGAAAAGCCUCUAAGCAUCAGGUAACAUCAAAUCGUACCCCAAACCGACACAGGUGGUCAGGUAGAGAAUACCAAGGCGCUUGAGAGAACUCGGGUGAAGGAACUAGGCAAAAUGGUGCCGUAACUUCGGGAGAAGGCACGCUGAUAUGUAGGUGAAGUCCCUCGCGGAUGGAGCUGAAAUCAGUCGAAGAUACCAGCUGGCUGCAACUGUUUAUUAAAAACACAGCACUGUGCAAACACGAAAGUGGACGUAUACGGUGUGACGCCUGCCCGGUGCCGGAAGGUUAAUUGAUGGGGUCAGCGCAAGCGAAGCUCUUGAUCGAAGCCCCGGUAAACGGCGGCCGUAACUAUAACGGUCCUAAGGUAGCGAAAUUCCUUGUCGGGUAAGUUCCGACCUGCACGAAUGGCGUAAUGAUGGCCAGGCUGUCUCCACCCGAGACUCAGUGAAAUUGAACUCGCUGUGAAGAUGCAGUGUACCCGCGGCAAGACGGAAAGACCCCGUGAACCUUUACUAUAGCUUGACACUGAACAUUGAGCCUUGAUGUGUAGGAUAGGUGGGAGGCUUGGAAGUGUGGACGCCAGUCUGCAUGGAGCCGACCUUGAAAUACCACCCUUUAAUGUUUGAUGUUCUAACGUUGACCCGUGAUCCGGGUUGCGGACAGUGUCUGGUGGGUAGUUUGACUGGGGCGGUCUCCUCCUAAAGAGUAACGGAGGAGCACGAAGGUUGGCUAAUCCUGGUCGGACAUCAGGAGGUUAGUGCAAUGGCAUAAGCCAGCUUGACUGCGAGCGUGACGGCGCGAGCAGGUGCGAAAGCAGGUCAUAGUGAUCCGGUGGUUCUGAAUGGAAGGGCCAUCGCUCAACGGAUAAAAGGUACUCCGGGGAUAACAGGCUGAUACCGCCCAAGAGUUCAUAUCGACGGCGGUGUUUGGCACCUCGAUGUCGGCUCAUCACAUCCUGGGGCUGAAGUAGGUCCCAAGGGUAUGGCUGUUCGCCAUUUAAAGUGGUACGCGAGCUGGGUUUAGAACGUCGUGAGACAGUUCGGUCCCUAUCUGCCGUGGGCGCUGGAGAACUGAGGGGGGCUGCUCCUAGUACGAGAGGACCGGAGUGGACGCAUCACUGGUGUUCGGGUUGUCAUGCCAAUGGCACUGCCCGGUAGCUAAAUGCGGAAGAGAUAAGUGCUGAAAGCAUCUAAGCACGAAACUUGCCCCGAGAUGAGUUCUCCCUGACUCCUUGAGAGUCCUGAAGGAACGUUGAAGACGACGACGUUGAUAGGCCGGGUGUGUAAGCGCAGCGAUGCGUUGAGCUAACCGGUACUAAUGAACCGUGAGGCUUAACCUU
rnacentral:rRNA from 1 species